rnacentral:rRNA from 1 species
AUUGAACGCUGGCGGCAUGCUUUACACAUGCAAGUCGAACGGUAACAGGCCGCAAGGUGCUGACGAGUGGCGAACGGGGGAGUAAUGCAUCGGAACGCGCCCAGUCGUGGGGGAUAACUACUCGAAAGAGUAGCUAAUACCGCAUACGAUCUAUGGAUGAAAGCGGGGGACAGUAAGGCCUCGCGCGAUUGGAGAGGCCGAUGUCAGAUUAGGUAGUUGGUGGGGUAAAGGCUCACCAAGCCAACGAUCUGUAGCUGGUCUGAGAGGACGACCAGCCACACUGGGACUGAGACACGGCCCAGACUCCUACGGGAGGCAGCAGUGGGGAAUUUUGGACAAUGGGCGCAAGCCUGAUCCAGCAAUGCCGCGUGCAGGAAGAAGGCCUUCGGGUUGUAAACUGCUUUUGUACGGAACGAAACGGCUCUGGUUAAUACCCGGGGCUAAUGACGGUACCGUAAGAAUAAGCACCGGCUAACUACGUG